rnacentral:lncRNA from 1 species
AGUGAGGCACCUAUGAGUACUACUAAGCUGAGAAGGUCAUAUCCUGAAAUCACUUGUUCAAGAUGUGGUGGUAUCCAAGGCACAACGUCAAAGGCUGUGGUAAUGAGGGGUAGCAAUCAGGCCAAAAAUAUGGAAACUGCCUGCUCAACCACGGACUGAAACUGAUCUGUCAGUCUCAACCACAUGCUUGCCACAUUCCUAGCCAGUGAACCCCAAACUGAACCUCAUCCUUAGGUAGAGUUAUUAACACUCACACUUUGCACUCACAAUAUACUAAUAUGUUUCAUAAUUUGCAGGGACUUAUUGUUGUUGCUAACAUAAUAGGAACAUUUCUUUUUGGAUUUGGACUAGGAACAUUUUAUGGACACCCAACAAGGUUUGGCCAACACCUAUCUGAAGAAACAAAAUACCUCUAAAUUUGAUACAGUUGCCACAUUGGUGGGACAUCAAGAUCCAUGAACUUCAUGCCAACAACAAUGCUUCCACCCAAGGUUCACAUCAAUACUAGUAUGGAGAAGGAUGAAUGAAGACUGAUUAUUGAGGUUUGAAGACUUUAUUUUUUGUUAUUAUGUUAUGCUUAGUGCAUAUUAGUUACUAUUGUGUCUAAACCUUUGGUUUUGUUGUCAACUAAACUAUUAACUCACUGCCUUUCAAAUUUCAAGGCAUGUUAAGAUAUUGGUGUAGCCUCCAUUUAACUAAUGCUACCUUUUAAAUUUCAAGACAUAUUAUAUUAAGUCAUUGCCUUUGGUUUUGUCA